GCGAGAUGAGCAGUUGGAGAAGGUAUGUGGGUGGGUGAGGAGUUGGGCAGGUAGAUGGGUGAAAUGGAUGAAGUGAGGAGCUCGGUGGGCAAGUGAGGAGCUAGGUGGGUGAGGUGGGUGAAGUGAGGAAUGGUGGGCAUACAUGUUCAUAGGGAAUUAGGCAAGUUUGGUUUGCUGCCGAACCAGACUAGUUCAGCUACAAAAAAGACAAGUGAAAAUGAAACAAAGAAAAAAGAAAGAAAGAUUAAGAAAAAGAAAAAAUAGAAAAGAGAAGAUGGAAACAUGAGACUAAGUAGGAGAACCACUUAUCUGGACUCCAACUUAAAGCCUCUUCACCUCUAGAAAGUGCCUUAAACAUAGUCCAAUUGCUCUCAAAGUUCCAAGGGAAUGAAGUGAUGGAAGUGAAUGUGUUGCUCAAGAAUGGUAACUGCAAGAAUAAUGGAAGACAGCAGCCUAAUAGAUGGACAGUGAUGGUUGAUUAUAAUGGAGUGAUAAUGGCUGAAGUGGUUGGCAGCAUGUGUGCUUGUCACAGAAGAAGAAAAAGCUUGCAAUCUUUGCAAACAUCUGUUGAGAUCACUGUGUACUGUUGCUGUAGAAAUGUGGGAUUGGAUAAAUGUUCGUCCAAAGUAAUGCCUAGUUUCUUAUGCUCAUCAGAUCUAACUGACUCUUAGAAAUCAGUUGUUAAGUGUCCUAGAUUUGUCUAGACUUGUUGCAUUGAG
rnacentral:lncRNA from 1 species